rnacentral:rRNA from 1 species
AUUGAACGCUGGCGGCAGGCCUAACACAUGCAAGUCGAGCGAGCGGCGGACGGGUGAGUAAUGUCUGGGAAACUGCCUGAUGGAGGGGGAUAACUACUGGAAACGGUAGCUAAUACCGCAUACCAUCAGAUGUGCCCAGAUGGGAUUAGCUAGUAGGUGGGGUAAUGGCUCACCUAGGCGACGAUCCCUAGCUGGUCUGAGAGGAUGACCAGCCACACGGGAACUGAGACACGGACCAGACUCCUACGUGAGGCAGCAGUGGGGAAUAUUGCACAAUGGGCGCAAGCCUGAUGCAGCCAUGCCGCGUGUGUGAAGAAGGCCUUCUGGUUGUAAAGUACUCUCAGUGAGGAGGCGGUAGCCGCAGAAAAAGCCCCGGCUAACUCCGUGCCAGCAGCCGCGGUAAUUC